CUACACCUGAAUAAGCAGAUUACCCGCUGAACUUAAGCAUAUCCCUA
rnacentral:rRNA from 1 species